rnacentral:lncRNA from 1 species
UGUUGGACCAGUGCGGACGCGUCUUGGAGUUCGGGUCGAAUCCUGAGUGGAGGCUGUAGCGCGGACGCGGCUUCCGUUUCCCCGGCGAUGGUGUCCUGGACUGAAGAGACUGACUGGAGUGCAUGUUACUGCCGACAAAGUUUCAGAACACCGGCCAGCGCAAGACCACCGACAUCAGACUGAGAUACAACGGCAGCGAUCCUGGAUUUGCAGGGCCAGGAUAAACAAGGGACUGUAGAGACCAUUUUGUCCCAUUCAUUAAUUUUUAGGCAGAACACAGAUCUAGAGAGAAUAGAUGACUUGCCCCAAGCUACCCCGCGAAGGAGGAGGAGGGCCACGGAUAAAUAGUGUGCUUCGAGAAUCUUAACUCUUCGGGGUCAACCUCUCCUUCUACGCCAAGGAAACAGGAUCUUCCUGCAACCCCCCGAGACAACCACCGAACAGUCACCCAACUUAGCACUAGGGCCCAGACGUUCCGUCGAUCGAAUGUACCACGCUCGAUUUCUAGGUCUUUAGCACAACGCAGGAUAAGUCGAUUGGUC